AUUGAACGCUGGCGGCAGGCCUAACACAUGCAAGUCGAGCGGAUGAAGGGAGCUUGCUCCUGGAUUCAGCGGCGGACGGGUGAGUAAUGCCUAGGAAUCUGCCUGGUAGUGGGGGAUAACGUCCGGAAACGGGCGCUAAUACCGCACACGUCCUGAGGGAGAAAGUGGGGGAUCUUCGGACCUCACGCUAUCAGAUGAGCCUAGGUCGGAUUAGCUAGUUGGUGGGGUAAAGGCCUACCAAGGCGACGAUCCGUAACUGGUCUGAGAGGAUGAUCAGUCACACUGGAACUGAGACACGGUCCAGACUCCUACGGGAGGCAGCAGUGGGGAAUAUUGGACAAUGGGCGAAAGCCUGAUCCAGCCAUGCCGCGUGUGUGAAGAAGGUCUUCGGAUUGUAAAGCACUUUAAGUUGGGAGGAAGGGCAGUAAGUUGAUACCUUGCUGUUUUGACGUUACCAACAGAAUAAGCACCGGCUAACUUCGUG
rnacentral:rRNA from 1 species